AUAUAUACACACACACACACACACACAUACAUAUAUAUAUAUAUAUAUAUAUAUAUGUAUGUAUGUAUAUAUGUAUGUAU